GGGCGGUUAGCUCAGUGGCAGAGCGCGUGCCUUACAAGCACGAAGCCGGUGGUUCAAAUCCACCACCGCCCACCA
rnacentral:tRNA from 1 species